rnacentral:rRNA from 1 species
UACGUAGGGUGCAAGCGUUGUCCGGAAUUAUUGGGCGUAAAGAGCUCGUAGGCGGUCUGUCGCGUCUGCUGUGAAAACUCAGGGCUUAACCCUGAGCUUGCAGUGGGUACGGGCAGACUAGAGUGCGGUAGGGGAGACUGGAAUUCCUGGUGUAGCGGUGAAAUGCGCAGAUAUCAGGAGGAACACCGGUGGCGAAGGCGGGGUCUCUGGGCCGUAACUGACGCUGAGGAG